rnacentral:tRNA from 1 species
ACCUGGCUGGCUCAGUCGGAAGAGCAUAUGAUUCUUGAUCUUGAUCUCGUGAGUUUGAGCCCCACACUGGGUA